AUUGAACGCUGGCGGCAGGCCUAACACAUGCAAGUCGAGCGGAGCGGCGGACGGGUGAGUAAUACCUAGGAAUCUGCCUGGUAGUGGGGGAUAACGUUCGGAAACGGACGCUAAUACCGCAUACUAUCAGAUGAGCCUAGGUCGGAUUAGCUAGUUGGUGAGGUAAUGGCCCACCAAGGCUACGAUCCGUAACUGGUCUGAGAGGAUGAUCAGUCACACGGGAACUGAGAGACGGUCCAGACUGCGACGGGGGGCAGUAGUGGGGAAUAUUGGACAAUGGGCGAAAGCCUGAUGCAGAGACGCCGGGUGGGGAAUGAAGGCCUACGUGUGGGAAACUCCUUUCGACAGGGACGCGGUACCUGUAUAAGAAGCACCGGCUAACUACGUGCCAGCAGCCGCGGUAAUAC
rnacentral:rRNA from 1 species